CAGAGAAAAGUUAGGGAUUGAAGGGGUGACAGUGUUACAGAGGGAGCAUCCUGGCUGGAAGAUUGGUUAAUUCCAGGGCCAUUGUGCAGAUAAGUGAAGUGACAGCCGGGUUUUAUAUUGUUGGAGAAGGAAUUUCCAAAUAGGCAAAGAAAAUGCUAUAAAAAAUGCUGAGACACUGGAUUUAAAAAAUGAGUGUGAAAUCGUCUUUUUAUAAUGAUAUGUAUGUGUGUGUGUCUGUGUAUGUAUAUAUAUAUACAUAUACACUAUAUUGACCAUAGCUCUCUAUUCCAGGGCAUGGGGUCAUGAAGUGGCCAGAAGAUUGUGAUUUCUAAAUCCCAUCCUCCAGGAGCCAGGGAUGAUUCCAGGACUGGGGCUGAAAAAGUACAGAGUUUCAAACCUCCAGUAGGAAAGUGCUGAAAACACGAUUUGCUGGUGAAGAUGGUUGCAGGAAGGAUGGCUAUUGAAACACUUCAUUUAUGUCUGAAUCUCAAGCUUUGGAAUAAAGCAACGUUCUCAACCCUGGCUGCAUGUUAGAUGCCCUGGCAAGAGGCUUUGAGUGUGGAAAGAAUAUAAUGGCAGAAAUGCAAAGAUUUGAGCACAAUUUUUUUCCAGCAAAACUGCAGCCCAUUGGGGAAAACAACAUUAAUCCCAGGAGC